GUCUAUGGUCAUAUCACCCUGAAUGCGCUCAAUCUCAUCUGAUCUCAGAAGCUAAGCAGGGUUGGGCCUGGUUAUUACUUGUAUGAGAGAAGUGUUACCCAAAAUUACUGAGAAUUUAGCAACUACCAAGAUA
rnacentral:rRNA from 1 species